CACAUGCUGGAUUCCUCUUAGAAGUGGAUUGUGAUCCCUUGGUUCCUGGAGUGUUGGACUGAGAAUGAUAAUGCAGCUGGGUCUGGGAUCAUCAGAGUGUCAUGACAGAUUAGAAUUGUCUGCCGGGAGCACAGCAGGGAAAGAUGAUGGUAAGAAUACUAAAUACCUGUGAACAGGAAGGGGUAAUAAGUGUCCUUCCAAGACAAAAGCAGACUGUCUGGUCUUAGAGACAGACCUGCCUGGUGACAAUUUCAACAGGGGGUAGCAAGUAUUAGUACAAGCUGCUAUGAGAAGGUAAAGAAAAGCAUCUAAAUCAGAUGAGGGAGGCCAUCUCUCAGAGAGGGUGGCACCAAACAGUCUUGAAAUACCAGCAGAGGUCAGCCCAGCAAAUGAGAGCGAGAAGAUGGGAUGACGAACAGGAGCGACUCUCCCGGCUGUACAGGAAUGGGGGCAGGGAGCCUUCCCCUCCAGGAAAGCAUGAUGUCCCAGCAAAUAGAGAAGUCAAAAUCAUUCCAUGGAUCCUGGGUCCUCCAAACACCUGUGGAAUCACAAUCUACUGGUUGACGACAGAGUCUCUCCUACAGAACAGCAGUUUGAGCAUCACGGAUUAUCAUUUAGUCCACAAAUACUUGUUGUACCUACUCUGUGCCAGGUGCUGUGUAGCGAACAAAGAACACAGGGCCGCUGCCCUCCUGGGACUUCCAGACUGGUGGAGGAACAAUUAAACAAGUAAACAAGCUGACAAAGAAGGACUGAGCCAAUGUUUCUCUCUUUUAGCCUGUCUUAAUUUAGUCACCCAAGUAACUUAUUUAAACAUUUAAUGACCGCCAGGAAAGAACGAUGCAAGCUGUUCAGGAUUUGGUUCCUUUCCUGUGAGUUUCAUUGGGCUAGCUUGCUUAAAUGACUACAAAAGUACUUCUCAUUGAGUUGACAGCCAUAACACAACUCUCAUUAGUAUAAGUAUUUGUUUGUUAACUUUUUAUUUCAUGGGUACACGUGCAGGUUUGGUAUAUAGGUAAACUUGUGUCAUGGGGGUUUGUUGUACAGAUUAUUUCAUCACCCAGGUAUUAAGCCUAGUACCCAUUAGUUAUUUUUCCUGACCCUCUCCCUGCUCCCAGCCUCCUUCCCCCAAUACGCCCCAGUGUCUGUUGUUCCCCUCUACGUCUCCAUGUGUUCUCAUCAUUUAGCCCCAACUUUUGAAAAAAACUCAACAUCACUGAUUAUUAGAGAAAUGCAAAUCAUAGCCACAAUGAGAUACCAUCUCACACGAGUCAGCAUGACUAUUAUUAACAAGUCAAAAAAUAACAGGCGCUAGCGAGGUUACAGAGAAAAAGGAAUGCUUAUACAUUGUUAAUGAGAGUGUAAAUUAGUUCAACCAUUGUGGAAAACAGUGUGGCGAUUCCUCAAAGACCUAAAAUCAGAACUACCAUUCGACCCAGCAAUUCCAUUAUUGGGUUUACAGCCAAAGGAAUAUAAAUCAUUCUAUCAUAGACAGACAUGCAUGUGUACAUUCAUUGAAGCACUAUUCACAACAGCAAAGACAGGAGAUGCUGAAACCAACUGCAACAAAAGCAAAAAUUAACAGAUGGGCUCUAAUUAAGCUGAAGAGCUUCUGCACAGCAAAAGAAACUAUCAACAGAGUAAACAGACAACCUACAGAAAGGGAGAAAUUUUUACAAACUAUGCA
rnacentral:lncRNA from 10 species